rnacentral:sRNA from 1 species
CGAUAAAAAAAGGCCCAAAACUUUUCCGUUUUUGGGCCUAGGGGAAUGGCUCAUUUGAGCCUACGCUAAUCAUUAAAAUAGUCGUACUUAUGCUUCCCUGUAAGUAUAGUUGUUAUCGCUAGAAGUGCGCGUGU